UGAAAGAGAGCUUGCCUCUCAUGGAUCAGCUGGCGAACGGGUGAGUUAACACGUGAGCAAUCUGCCCCGUGACUCUGGGAUAAGCGCUGGAAACGGCGUCUAAUACCGGAUACGAGCUGCGAAGGCAUCUUCGGCAGCUGGAAAGAAUUUCGGUCAGGGAUGAGCUCGCGGCCUAUCAGCUAGUUGGUGAGGUAAUGGCUCACCAAGGCGUCGACGGGUAGCCGGCCUGAGAGGGUGACCGGCCACACUGGGACUGAGACACGGCCCAGACUCCUACGGGAGGCAGCAGUGGGGAAUAUUGCACAAUGGGCGCAAGCCUGAUGCAGCAACGCCGCGUGAGGGACGACGGCCUUCGGGUUGUAAACCUCUUUUAGCAGGGAAGAAGCGAAAGUGACGGUACCUGCAGAAAAAGCACCGGCUAACUACGUGCCAGCAGCCGCGGUAAUACGUAGGGUGCAAGCGUUAUCCGGAAUUAUUGGGCGUAAAGAGCUCGUAGGCGGUUUGUCGCGUCUGCUGUGAAAACCCGAGGCUCAACCUCGGGCCUGCAGUGGGUACGGGCAGACUAGAGUGCGGUAGGGGAGAUUGGAAUUCCUGGUGUAGCGGUGGAAUGCGCAAUAUCAGGAGGAACACCGAUGGCGAAGGCAGAUCUCUGGGCCGUAACUGACGCUGAGGAGCGAAAGGGUGGGGAGCAAACAGGCUUAGAUACCCUGGUAGUCCACCCCGUAAACGUU
rnacentral:rRNA from 1 species